ACAAACUGCAGCUUGAAGUCACCGUCAGUCCAUAACGCUUGCCGGUGGAACGGUCGACGCAUGUACAAGUAAAACUACCAAAGAAAUCUAAUAAGCGUAGAGUAGGAUUCGCUGGCUUGUGUGAAUGGCGACGAUACAUCCUUCGACCGACGUUAAGUUUUCAAUACAGGAACACGAUACGAAAAAAGUCGCCUUCGCUCGUUCUAAUAUUUUAGCGGAAGUCUAGCUGCGCUACGAUAUCCCGUAUCAUAACAGUAAUCUGAUUCUUCCGUCCUGCUCCCAAAUCCGUCUAGACAGUAUUGAAGGAAAGAAUUAGCGGGUUGCUGCUUGGGGCGUUAUUAGGAGGACUUCCUUGUUACUGAGUAGUUGCUGCAAAAUGGACGUGGAAAGCCGCAGUUUAUUUAUGAACUACGUUAUCAUCAUCCUGCUGCUAUUAAUUGUGUGGGCGCUAUUUUUUGGGCCGUCGUAUUUUUAACCGGAAUCACUUCGACAUGGACGACACAAGAUUCCGCUGCCUAUUAAGCACUGCGCUAUCAUUCGCAAAGCCUGGAGGGACUUGCUGCCCUACGAGAAGGUAUAGAACAAUGGCUUCCGCUAGAGAUUAACAUGGUGCUUUUGCAGAUUCAUGGGCAACAUGCAUGCGGAAAUAAGAGAAUGUGCACGAGUUGUAUACAGAUCUGUACUGGCAAUUCCAUUGUGGGACGGUCCGUCUUCACUACGUAGCCCGAUUCGAAAACACGAGAACCCCUAUUUCAAGGACAGCACCAUCCCGAGCCGAACUGAAAACCUAUUAUACCGAAGUUUUUUACCUAUAGUUUUGUACAAGAAUGCCAUAAAUGUACACAACGAUUAUUUAAACACUAGUAAAUGGGCGUGUCACUGAUCACAGCAAGAUUUAUUCUUAACCGAAGAACGAGCCAAACGGCGCUGAUUAUUCUACUCGAAAGCCCUAUGGCUCCGACGCGGUGAUUAAAAUGGCAAGAAUUUAUUGAA